rnacentral:rRNA from 1 species
UACGUAGGGUGCGAGCGUUGUCCGGAAUUACUGGGCGUAAAGCGCUCGUAGGUGGUUUGUCGCGUUGUUCGUGAAAACUCACAGCUCAACUGUGGGCGUGCGGGCGAUACGGGCAGACUGGAGUACUGCAGGGGAGACUGGAAUUCCUGGUGUAGCGGUGGAAUGCGCAGAUAUCAGGAGGAACACCGGUGGCGAAGGCGGGUCUCUGGGCCGAUACUGACGCUGAGGAGCGAAAGCGUGGGGAGCGAACAGG